AGCGAACGCUGGCGGCAGGCCUAACACAUGCAAGUCGAACGAACUCUUCGGAGUUAGUGGCGGACGGGUGAGUAACACGUGGGAACGUGCCUUUUGGUUCGGAAUAACUCAGGGAAACUUGUGCUAAUACCGAAUGUGCCCUUCGGGGGAAAGAUUUAUCGCCAUUAGAGCGGCCCGCGUCUGAUUAGCUAGUUGGUGAGGUAACGGCUCACCAAGGCGACGAUCAGUAGCUGGUCUGAGAGGAUGACCAGCCACACUGGGACUGAGACACGGCCCAGACUCCUACGGGAUGCAGCAGUGGGGAAUCUUGCGCAAUGGGCGAAAGCCUGACGCAGCCAUGCCGCGUGAAUGAUGAAGGUCUUAGGAUUGUAAAAUUCUUUCACCGGGGACGAUAAUGACGGUACCCGGAGAAGAAGCCCCGGCUAACUUCGUG
rnacentral:rRNA from 1 species